rnacentral:tRNA from 1 species
GCGCGAGUGGUGAAAUUGGCAGACACGCAGGAUUUAGGUUCCUGUGCCUUCGGGCGUGUGGGUUCAAGUCCCACCUUGCGCA